CCUACGGGGGGCAGCAGUGAGGAAUAUUGGUCAAUGGACGAGAGUCUGAACCAGCCAAGUAGCGUGAAGGAGGACUGCCCUAUGGGUUGUAAACUUCUGUUAUAUGGGAAUAAAAUGUGCCACGUGUGGGAUUUUGUAUGUACCAUAUGAAUAAGGAUCGGCUAACUCCGUGCCAGCAGCCGCGGUAAUACGGAGGAUCCGAGCGUUAUCCGGAUUUAUUGGGUUUAAAGGGAGCGUAGGUGGCUUGUUAAGUCAGUUGUGAAAGUUUUCGGCUCCACCGUAAAAUUGAAGUUGAAACUGGCAGUCUUGAGUACAGUAGAGGUUGUCGUAAUUCGUGGUGUAGCGG
rnacentral:rRNA from 1 species